AGCAGCCGCGGUAAUCCCAGCUCCAAUAGCGUAUAUUAAAGUUGUUGCAGUUAAAAAGCUCGUAGUUGAAUUUCGGGAUUGACACAUCGGUCGUGCCUUAAGGGGUAUGAACUGGUGUAGUCAAUUUCUCACCUUCUGGAGAACCACGAUGCCCUUAAUUGGGUGUCGCGGGGAACCAGGACCUUUACUUUGAAAAAAUUAGAGUGUUUAAAGCAGGCAUUUUGCUUGAAUACAUUAGCAUGGAAUAAUAAAAUAGGACGGCAUGAUUCUAUUUUGUUGGUUUCUAGGAUCGCCGUAAUGAUUAAUAGGGAUAGUUGGGGGCAUUAGUAUUCAAUUGUCAGAGGUGAAAUUCUUGGAUUUAUUGAAGACUAACUACUGCGAAAGCAUUUGCCAAGGAUGUUUUCAUUAAUCAAGAACGAAAGUUAGGGGAUCGAAGACGAUCAGAUACCGUCGUAGUCUUAACCAUAAACUAUGCCGACUAGGAAUCAGACGAUGUUAAUUUUUUAAUGACUCGUUUGGCACCUUACG
rnacentral:rRNA from 1 species